AGAGAGAGAGAGAGAGAGAGAGAGAGAGAGAGAGAGAGAGAGAGAGAGAGGGCGACGAGCGCCCUCUGUAAACGCCAGACCGUUGACUCAGUCGACUCCAGCCGUACUCGGGCGAAGCACCGAUCGGAAUGAUAGUGCGGGGCGCUUUACAAAGCCGGUGCACAGCAGGCCGUGCUUACAAGGAAGCGGCGUUUGUGACUGUUGUGCAGCCGGCUUAAUUUGUGUGUGAGGAGUUGGGUGAGCUAUGAGGUGGUCCGACAAGCGAUCCUCACUUAAUCAUCGGAUAUUCACAUUCAGGCUUCUGGUGGCAGCUGCAUCAGUUACAUGCAUAGUCUACUUAGUGCAUCUCAGCGACAUCGAGCCAAUGAGAAGGAGAAUUUAUAACAGCAACAAUAACACCGUCUAUGCCCCUGUGACUGCGGACCGGCCGACCAGUGGAGAUGGCUGUCUGCGUCUGUUCUCACUCUCCGAGUCUCGGAUGUUCUGGGAGAAGCCAACGCCAUACUCGCCAACCUCUUGCUACGGUUCCGGCCUCCCCCCGAGCCAGUCGGCGCCGUGCCUGACGAGCCUGCGAGAGCGACGUGGUCGGCCUACGUUCAUCAAGUUCAUCGGCGACUCUCGAGCACGUGUUAUUUUUACAAAGCUUCACGAUGCUCUAGAACAUGUGAGGAAACAACCUGUUGUGCACGACUACUUCGAAACGGCCGAAGAGGCGACUUUUCUCGAGCAUGGCCAGCGAGUGCCCUGCCUUCAUACUUUCCGUAACGUUUUUCUAAAUUACACAUGCUACAUGGAAUACACAAGUGACUUGGUGCGUGCCACAUUUCACUGGACUCCGUUCCUGAGCGCUGGGUUUGCAGAUCGCUUGGCAGUGCUAGAGCAAGAUUGCUUGGACGGGACAGUAUGCCCGGACCUUAUCGUCAUGACGCUUGGACUGUGGUAUGCCAAGAAAACGGUCGGCUGUCCUUUUGGGCAGUGUGCUGCUUCUCAGGGACGAAUUGGAUGGCCUGUUGCCUGUGUUACAAAGACUCUCCCAGCGUAUUCAGAUUGUGUACCGUGUCGACGGACCCCAUUUCCAAGACAGCAGUGGAGUUAAGUCGCCAUUCAACGACGCCCUCCUGGCGGUGACGGCGACAGUCACCGAAACACUUAGACACAAGGUACCGCGACUUCACAUAUGGACAGCCUCGCUGGCUGAGACGAUACGGUUCGAGCACUCCGUAUGUCGCUUCCUGUCGGCCUUUCAGAGACCUCUCAGAGUGAAAAACCGACAUGAAUGUUUGGACGAAAACCACGUUGGUGACACGGUGCGGCUGUCGGCGGCUGGGGCGAUCCUGCGCUACCUGUGCCGGGAUGUGGAGCGCCACCCGGCCGGACACUGCUGUCACCAGAGCGUGCAACCGGCGGGACACUGCUGUCACUAGAGCGUCUGACACCGGCGGGACACUGCUGUCACUAGUGUCUGACACCGGCCAGACACCGCUGUCACUAGUGUCUGACACACCGGCGGGACACUGCUGUCACUAGUGUCUGACACUGGCGGGACACUGCUGUCACCAGAGCGUGUGACACCGGCGGGACACUGCUGUCACCAGAGCGUCUGACACCGGCGGGACACUGCUGUCACCAGAGCGUGUGACACCGGCGGGACACUGCUGUCACUGGUGUCUGACACACCGGCGGGACACUGCUGUCACUGGUGUCUGACACACCGGCGGGACACUGCUGUCACCAGAGCGUGUGACACCGGCCAGACACUGCUGUCACUAGUGUCUGACACCGGCCAGACACUGCUGUCACUAGGGUGUCUAGAACUGGCGGGGCACCUCUGCUGUCAACAGUGUCUGACACCGGCGGGGCACCUCUGGUGUCAACAGUGUCUGACACCGGCAUCAGCACAAUAGCUGGGCGAUUUUUGAAAGGACCCCCCAGUCCCCGCUGUGAUAUAUGCUUUCGUUGAUUUGCCGUGUUUUCUUUGUAUUGUGCAUGCGAGUCUCCUGAACUGAAGGGUGAAUUGGAUUCAAUUGCUUUCAAAUAGAAUAUAGUAUGUGUAUGUGUAUAUGUGUGUAUAUGUGUAUGUGGUCAGGUAGUAUAGCAUAUUUCAAAUAGUAUGUGUCGCAAGGCCUUGGUGUGCAAUGUGAAAAAAAUAAUGUAAUAUUUUUACAGUUUUUUUUCACAUAGAUUUAGCUCAAAUGUUUGAAUGGAUGGAUUGACAGAGCCGGAACCCACGUUAAGCAGAGCUUGUUGCGUAGACCCCCUAACCCCUACCAUGUGAACGCGCAAUUCCGGGUAACGUUAGAAGUUAGAUGCCAAAGUUUAACGUGCCCUUCGAAGCCAGACACGGAUAUUGGAGGGAAUGAAGAUACUGGAUUGGAGCUUUUUAAGGAUUAUGCUGAAAGAGACAAUGUUUAAAGCAAAAUGUUGCUACAUUGCGCUUAUACUCUUUACCUAUCAGACACACGGGCUCCGUUCAUUGAAUACUCAGAACACCAUGCCGAAACCAUCAGAACCGUAUCCUCACCGUGAGACCGUACUUAAAACGUUGCAAUGUUCGUUGCAAAUUCGUUGCAAUUUGCACUCGCAAAAGUCACAUAAUUCUGUGUUAAUUUUAAUAGGCUGCAAUAAUGAUAUGCAAUAUGGUUUGUGCAAAUUAAGGUGAAAACUCACUAAAAAUUCAAAAACCAUUCUUUCCAGCAAGCAUCAGAGGCAUCAGAUCAAUGCACUGCUGAUUGGCUGAUACUUGAACCUGGCUGUUCGGGACUUUUUGCGACGCUUUUGGUUCACAAUUGACAUCAGCCACGCGAUGCUGCGCCGGUCCAAAGUGAACAGUCACUGCGCGCGCUGGUGUGAUGAUGUGUUAAUAUAUUAAUAAUGCUGCGAGUCA
rnacentral:misc_RNA from 1 species